AUGAAGCCAAGAGCCCGCUGGCAUUCCGGGGGGCUGCCGCCACCGCCACCGCCUGGGGGUGGGGUGGGGCGGGCGCUCACUCCCUGCGCCUCCUUCCGCGGUUGGGCUGAGGUCUCGCGCCGCUCUCCUUCCUCUUCCUCGCGGGCCUCCGGCAGGAGCUUCGCCCCCACGACCCUGCAGUCCUGGCGCCCCCUCCACGCGGGAGCCACAGCCAGACCGCUCCAUUCCCCCGCGACGCCGCCGGUACCGGGGAACUCGCUCCGCCGCGGACUCCGCCGUUCGGAGUGCUUUCAAGUUCUCGCCAUGGGGGGGAGGGGAGGUAUUCGUGGCCUAGCGCUCGGCCAAUGCUCCGAGGGGCUGAGAGCAGGAGGACCGGCGGGGCGGGCCGCUGAUUGGCUACGGCAGGAGCCUGUCUGGGCCGUACCACUUACUUGGAGGGGGUCUGGAGAGGGAGGGAGGUGGCUCCUCGCUCGUGACCAUGUCCAGCACACACAUAAGCCUGUUUUUACUUCCGAGCAUUCCUUCUUGGAUACCGUAAGGAUAGAAAACAGGACGCAGGGAAACGGAAGAGUCGCCCGGCCACUUCCCCAUUUCCGAGUCCUGCGCACUAGGCCAGGCCUCCUCUCCCAGGCGCCCGCGGACCCCGACGGCCGUGCGCGCGCGCGCUCGUUCUCUCGCGUGCGUACGGCGCUGCGCCCCUGCAGCCAAUCAGGCCGCGAGGUCGCCGCGGUCGCCGGGUCGCGCGCACGCCCUAGCGCGGAGUGGGGGUGGGGGCUGUGGGUGAAUGGGAGAGUGAGCGGGGGCGGGCGCGGCGGCGCGAGCCGCAUGAAUGAGAGAAACGUGCCCCGCGCGAGACGUCGCGCGCGUCCGGGACGGGGAGCCAAUGGGAGCGCUGGGAGGGCUCGAGACCCGGCGCUGAGGGCAACGGCCGCGCGCCGGCUCGAAGGCGAGCGUCGCCAGGCGGGAGCGCGCGUAGCAGGGCGGGCGUGGAGCGUGCGGGGGCCGCGCGCGGCCUCUCAGAGGCCGGACGGCACUGCCGGGAGGCGGCGGCGGCGGCGGCGACGGGAACCGCGCCGGGGGUGA
rnacentral:lncRNA from 1 species